rfam:Setaria italica strain Yugu1 chromosome II, whole genome shotgun sequence.
AAGAUGGGAGCCCCUCAGGAUAGCCAAGGAGACUGCCUGCGAGACCAACCGCGCGCAGCAGAGAGCAGAUCCACGCCAAAUGGGUUGCCUCCUGCAGCAGGAGACCACAGGCAAGUCAUCCUUGGCUACCGUAGCAGAGCCCUCAUCG